GUAAUAGUGAAUUUCUAAAGGACAAGGUUAAUUGUUCUGGUGAAACUGUAACUGGUCCAAUUUUUUCAAUGUUUGAUGGCGAUACUCUACUGGGUAGUGCAUCAGAGGUCUGUGAAGAAGCAUUGAUGGUGCCUGUNGAUACCUGUAGACGUGGAAAGAGGAAAGAAUGAAGGGAUUGAAGAGAUGCUAGAAAGAGGGUUCGUGUUGAAUUGGACAGCAAGUAACUGCAGCAUAUGCGAUAGCAGUGGAGGCAAAUGUGGGUUUGAUAGCAGCACCUACCAUUUUAUGUGUUUCUGCC
rnacentral:misc_RNA from 1 species